CAUCUAGAGUGAAGAUGGAAAUGCUGUGCCGCUUGAAGAGUCAAGCAGCAACUAUACAGGGAGAGUAUGUUUUAGUUACUUUGUGUAUGUGUUCACUAACUCACUGGGUGUGCAUGGACUAACACCGAUUUGUGAUUAUUUUUGUGUACUGACUUGCGCUUCGAGUCAAGCCAACAAUGUUGUUAAACUGAAAUGUACUCUUGAAAAAUGUGGUUUGGAUUUUGUUUGGGAGGGAAUGGUAAGUUGUUUAGUGUGGGUUUUUCAACUUGAAUGAAACUGUUAAAGUGGGACUGUAUGUAUAAACAAUGGAGAGUAAGGUUUUGGAAUGCCAGCAAGCAAAUGUUUGUAACCGUGCCAAUGUGCUUGUUGCGGGCUUUUCACUGGUACAGCUGAGUGUCUUGGUCGACUGUUGCUACAGUUUGUUUUUUGUGUUUAGAAAGGUCUGAGUGGUAAUGAUGCUGCGCAGGCAUGGGAAGCGUUUGUAGGUGUGAUGUCGGACAGACGUCGCUGCAGUUAAGUGUUGUCGGUGGACUUGCGAUGGUCUGGAGUGUGCAGUGCAGGGUUUUGAGGGAGGACUCCAUAGUGUUUCUCUUCUCCCCUCUCCCUCCUUCUUCCUUUAGGGUAGAGUCGAUGUCGGAUCGGGUGAGAGGUGCCAAGAUGAACUGGACUAGAGUAAUAAGGACAUGCACAGACAAAUCAAUAAAUGACCGUCACAACUAAUAGCCCCCCCCCUCCCUGUGGAUGAGUUUGAAAAGCACAAAAACUCAGAGUUGAAGUAAUCAUUCUUCAUGGGAUGUAUGUCCCACAAGGUGCACGGAACCCGAAGAAAGCAGUGACUCACGAUACGCUGGACUUGACAUCAGUUUUCCAAAAGAAUGGGCAGAACAAAGAAUUUGCAUGGAGAUUGAAGGGACGACCUGCGAUAUGGAAACGCAUGGAGGUUGGAGGAUGAGAUGGUGAGCAAGAGAACCAGAAUUGGGUAAUUAAUGCAAAUGUGCAUCAAUAAAGGUGACAUGUUUCAGAGAGUGGAAGGGGAGCUGGAUGAAAGAAAAGAGCUCGGAAGGACGUGGCAUGGGAUGAGGAAAAGGAACAAUUCCACACUGAGAAUAAAGCGGCUCACAGAUAAGUAGUUUGUUCAUGUAUUCGCAGGGUGGAAGUAAAGCGUAAACCGGAGGGGGCAGAGUAUGGAGCUUUGCCUUGGUUGACAGUUGCUGUGGAAGGUAGUUUGGCGGUAGGUGUGAUUGUCAUGAUGGCAGGCAAGGAAAGUGUCGGUAGAGUUGAUAGUUGGAUGUGGUGGUUUGGUUGAGUGGUCUUUGCGAAGGAAGGAAGGUUGAGAUGGUCCACAGGUUGUUAGGCUUGUCUUCGUCCCGAGCAGCUCUUUGUUUUGAGUGAGGACUUUAUCAACACAAAACUGAAUACUUGUAUUUUCUUAAGGGUGAAGACCAACUGUGAUGCAGUUCCAAGAUGAACAGCAUCUUCUCACUUGAGGCAAGUGAUGUGCAUUAUCUGACAAAACAUUUGAAGGUGUCUGUUUUUAGUUUUUGGCAGCAAUCCAGAAUAAGUGGAAAUGAUGUGCCACUUCAAGAGCCAAGGCAACACUGCUAUUGAACAGGCUUUUCAUGGGCAGAGGAGCAACGUGGGAGGAAAGGAGUAUUUUCCACCAUGGCUGUGUUUGGAUGGCACAAAACCCUAGGUAACAAGUCUGAAAUGAUGCUUAAGAGUUAAUUUUGUUUCCCAAAGGUGAUUGUCCUCUUCCUGAGUUGCAGGAUGGGACACACCCAUGUGAGACCAGGCAUUGUAUGUUUUUGCAGGAUCAUGGCAAGUGCUGUUUCAAGAGCCAAGCAGCAGUGAAGAAGAAGAAGAAGAAGAAGAAGAAGAAGAAGAAGAAGAA